AUAACUUGAUGUAGAUUAAUGUGUGAGAUAAUGAUUAUA
rnacentral:guide_RNA from 1 species